rnacentral:rRNA from 1 species
UACGGGGGGGGUAAGCGUUGUUCGGAAUUACUGGGCGUAAAGGGCUCGUAGGCGGCCAACUAAGUCGGACGUGAAAUCCCUCAGCUUAACUGGGGAACUGCGUCCGAUACUGGAUGGCUUGGAUUUGGGAGAGGGAUGCGGAAUUCCAGGUGUAGCGGUGGAAUGCGCAGAUAUCAGGAGGAACACCGGUGGCGAAGGCGGGUCUCUGGGCAGUAACUGACGCUGAGGAGCGAAAGCGUGGGGAGCGAACAGG